rnacentral:rRNA from 1 species
CGUAGGUGGCAAGCGUUGUCCGGAUUUAUUGGGUUUAAAGGGUGCGUAGGCGGCUUAAUAAGUCAGUGGUGAAAGCCGAUCGCUUAACGAUCGAACUGCCAUUGAUACUGCUAGGCUUGAGUAUAGUUGAGGUAGGCGGAAUUGACAGUGUAGCGGUGAAAUGCAUAGAUAUUGUCAAGAACACCAAUUGCGAAGGCAGCUUACUAAAGUAUAACUGACGCUGAGGCACGAAAGUGCGGGGAUCAAACAGG